rnacentral:SRP_RNA from 1 species
GCUGGGUGUGGUGGCGCAUGCCUGUAAUCCCAGCUGCUCAGGAGGCUAAGUCAGGAGAAUCGCUUGAACUCAGGAGGCAGAGGUUACAGUGAGCCAAGAUCACGCCACUGCAACUCCAGCCUGGGUGACAGAGUGAGACCCUGCCUCAA